UAAGAAAACACGGAGCUUAUUGCUUUCCUCAAAGAACUUCCUCCGGUAGAGUUCUGCUGCAUAUAUGGUUCGACUCUGCAUCCAAAUAAUCACGAUAAGUCAAAAAUGGUUGACCUUAUUCUUGGCGUAUCUGAUCCUCAAAAAUGGCACGAAAAGAAUAUUCGAUUAAACAAAGACACUAUGCCUCAUGGAUGGUGUACCUUGGAGGGGGG